rnacentral:rRNA from 1 species
AUUGAACGCUGGCGGCAGGCCUAACACAUGCAAGUCGAACGAGUGGCGGACGGGUGAGUAAUGUCUGGGAAACUGCCUGAUGGAGGGGGAUAACUACUGGAAACGGUAGCUCAUACCGCAUACCAUCGGAUGUGCCCAGAUGGGAUUAGCUAAUAGGUGGUGUAAAGGCUCACCUAGGCUACGAUCCCUAGCUGGUCUGAGAGGAUGACCAGCUACACUGGAAAUGAGACACGGUCCAGACGCGUACGGUAGGCAGCAUUGGGGAAGAGUGCACAAGGGGCGAAAUCCUGAUGCAGCCAUGCCGCGUGUAUGAAGAAGUCCUUCGGUUUGUAAAGUACUUUCAGCUGUGAGGCGUGACCCGCAGAAGAAGCACCGGCUAACUCCGUGCCAGCAGCCGCGGUAAUAC